GAUGAAGAACGCAGCGAAAUGCGAUAAGUAAUGUGAAUCGCAGAAUUCAGUGAAUCAUCGAAUCUUUGAACGCACCUUGCGCCUUUUGGUAUUCCGAAAGGCAUACCUGUUUGAGCGUCAUGAAUACCUCAAUCUCCAUCUUUUCUUCGGAUUGAUGGGUGACUUGGAUGUUGAGCCCUGCUGGUAUGCUAUAUCAGCUGGCUUUAAACUUAUUAGCCGGCUCUGUACUGGAUCGGUUUGACUCGACGUGAUAAUAUUAUCGUUGAGGAUGCAUGUCUCAUGCAGCCGGAAAGUAUCAAAGCAGCUUCUAGCUUGCCUUUAGUGCACUUUUACAUUUUAGACCUCAGAUCAGGUGGGACUACCCGCUGAACUUAAGCAUAUCAAUAAGCGGAGGA
rnacentral:misc_RNA from 1 species